AGCAGUAGCCGCGGUAAUACGUAGGUGGCAAGCGUUGUCCGGAAUUAUUGGGCGUAAAGGGCUCGCAGGCGGUUUCUUAAGUCUGAUGUGAAAGCCCCCGGCUCAACCGGGGAGGGUCAUUGGAAACUGGGAAACUUGAGUGCAGGAGAGGAGAGUGGAAUUCCACGUGUAGCGGUGAAAUGCGUAGAGAUGUGGAGGAACACCAGUGGCGAAGGCGACUCUCUGGUCUGUAACUGACGCUGAGGAGCGAAAGCGUGGGGAGCGAACAGGAUUAGAUACCCCAGUAGUCCCUGUCUCUUAUAU
rnacentral:rRNA from 1 species